rnacentral:tRNA from 1 species
GGGGAGUUAGCUCAGCUGGAAGAGCGCCACGUUGACAUCGUGGAGGUCGCUGGUUCAAGCCCAGUACUGCCCACCA